UACGAAGGGGACUAGCGUUGUUCGGAAUUACUGGGCGUAAAGCGCACGUAGGCGGCUUAUCAAGUCAGGCGUGAAAUUCCCGGGCUCAACCUGGGGGCUGCGCUUGAUACUGAUGAGCUUGAAUGCGGGAGAGGAUAGUGGAAUUCCCAGUGUAGAGGUGAAAUUCGUAGAUAUUGGGAAGAACACCGGUGGCGAAGGCGGCUAUCUGGCCCGUAAUUGACGCUGAGGCGCGAAAGCGUGGGGAGCAAACAGG
rnacentral:rRNA from 1 species